CGGGGAUUGGCGCAGUUGGUAGCGCGCGGGAUUCGGGUUCCCGAGGUCAGCAGUUCGAGUCUGCUAUCCCCGA
rnacentral:tRNA from 1 species